rnacentral:rRNA from 1 species
AUUGAACGCUGGCGGCAGGCCUAACACAUGCAAGUCGAACGGUAACAGGAAGAAGCUUGCUUCUUUGCUGACGAGUGGCGGACGGGUGAGUAAUGUCUGGGAAACUGCCUGAUGGAGGGGGAUAACUACUGGAAACGGUAGCUAAUACCGCAUAACGUCGCAAGACCAAAGAGGGGGACCUUCGGGCCUCUUGCCAUCGGAUGUGCCCAGAUGGGAUUAGCUUGUUGGUGGGGUAACGGCUCACCAAGGCGACGAUCCCUAGCUGGUCUGAGAGGAUGACCAGCCACACUGGAACUGAGACACGGUCCAGACUCCUACGGGAGGCAGCAGUGGGGAAUAUUGCACAAUGGGCGUAAGCCUGAUGCAGCCAUGCCGCGUGUAUGAAGAAGGCCUUCGGGUUGUAAAGUACUUUCAGCGGGGAGGAAGGGAGUAAAGUUAAUACCUUUGCUCAUUGACGUUACCCGCAGAAGAAGCACCGGCUAACUCCGUG